UCAGAUGCGAAAGCGUGGGUAGCAAACAGGAUUAGAUACCCUGGUAGUCCACGCCGUAAACGCUGUCUACUUGGAGGUUGAGGUUUUAGACUUUGGCUUUCGGCGCUAACGCAUUAAGUAGACCGCCUGGGGAGUACGGCCGCAAGGUUAAAACUCAAAUGAAUUGACGGGGGCCCGCACAAGCGGUGGAGCAUGUGGUUUAAUUCGAUGCAACGCGAAGAACCUUACCUACUCUUGACAUCCAGCGAAGCCUUUAGAGAUAGAGGCGUGCCUUCGGGAGCGCUGAGACAGGUGCUGCAUGGCUGUCGUCAGCUCGUGUUGUGAAAUGUUGGGUUAAGUCCCGCAACGAGCGCAACCCUUAUCCUUGUUUGCCAGCACGUAAUGGUGGGAACUCCAGGGAGACUGCCGGUGAUAAACCGGAGGAAGGUGGGGACGACGUCAAGUCAUCAUGGCCCUUACGAGUAGGGCUACACACGUGCUACAAUGGCAGAUACAGAGGGCAGCGAGACAGCGAUGUUUAGCGAAUCCCUUAAAGUUUGUCGUAGUCCGGAUUGGAGUCUGCAACUCGACUCCAUGAAGUCGGAAUCGCUAGUAAUCGUGGAUCAGAAUGCCAUGGUGAAUACGUUCCCGGGCCUUGUACACUCCGCCC
rnacentral:rRNA from 1 species